rnacentral:rRNA from 1 species
CCGCACGCGCGCUACAAUGAGGGACGCAGUGUGCCCGCAAAGCCUGACCCGAAAGGGUUGGGUAAUCAUUUAAAUUUCCCUCGUAAUAGGGAUUGAACAUUGUAACUAUUGCUCAUGAACGAGGAAUUCCUAAUAAGCGCGAGUCAUAAUCUUGCGUUGACUACGU